CCUACGUGUGGCAGCAGUGGGGAAUAUUGGGCAAUGGAGGCAACUCUGACCCAGCAACGCCGCGUGAAUGAUGAAGGUCUUCGGAUUGUAAAGUUCUGUGAUGGGGGAUGAACACAAUGACGGUACCCCAAUAGCAAGCCACGGCUAACUACGUGCCAGCAGCCGCGGUAAUACGUAGGUGGCAAGCGUUAUCCGGAAUGACUGGGCGUAAAGGGGGCGCAGACGGCAAUGCAAGCCAGGAGUGAAAGCCCGGGGCCCAACCCCGGGACUGCUCUUGGAACUGCAUGGCUGGAGUACAGGAGGGGCAGGCGGAAUUCCUAGUGUAGCGGUGAAAUGCGUAGAUAUUAGGAGGAACACCGGUGGCGAAGGCGGCCUGCUGGACUGUGACUGACGUUGAGGCCCGAAGGCGUGGGGAGCAAACAGGAUUAGAUACCCCAGUAGUC
rnacentral:rRNA from 1 species